rnacentral:lncRNA from 1 species
AACAUGAAUGUGUUUUGCACCUCAACGUAACUUUUUAUUUUAUUUUUCUUCCACAGGCUCGGCUUCAGCGCACACCCUCCAGCACAUCAGAGGACUCCCUGAAGCUCCAGAGCAGCAGCUCCAUCGAGCGAGAGAUCUUGGAGGGCGAGUUAUCGUCCAGCCCCAGGAAGAACUCUCUGUCCAGGAUGGACUCCAAACAGAAGGGCCGCAGCCUCUUCUCCCUGGGCGGCAAAACUCAGAGCUUAGAAGGACAACACCAGAUCCCCACACGACUGCUUCAGCUGGCUUCAUCCAAGGAGAAGAAGGACAAAAAGAAGAAGAAGAGCAAGAGCCAGCCUCCUCAGGAUGCAGCAUCACAUCUGCUGCCCCUGACAGAGCCUUCAAUGGACGGGGAGAUCUUCUUCUGCUGAUUUACCCAUCAUCCCUUCUGUCCACAUCAUUCCCGUUCAUGGACUCUCUAUCAAAUCAUGUAGGAAGUCACCCAAAGUGCCCUCUUCACAUUUUGGCAAUCGUUCUACAAUAUAAUAAAUCUCACAGACACAGAACAUGUCCAGGUUGCAUUACACCCCAAAAUCAAAAGAAAAAUGAAAAAUAAUAUUUUGCCUAACCCAAAUCAAUACUAUUCUAGAAUUGUUUUUAUUUUUUGUGACAUUAUUUUAAUAACAAUUUAGCCCCCAAAUUUUCAUUACCGUAAUGUAUAAAUAGUAGUAAUAUAUUAUUUCAAUUGUAAAGUAUUUAUAUACUACGGUAAAUGUUUUUCUGCUUUUAAAUAGUGUUUUAUUACAGUAGUUUUUGCUGUAAUAAAGUUUUCUCCAUCACAGUAAUGAGAAUAACCAUUGGGAAUAAUAAUUAGUGAUUAUUAUAAAAAUAAAAAAAACCUCGUGUUGCAUAAUGGUAAUGUGAAUAUAUAUAUAUAUAUAUAUAUAUAUAUAUAUAUACCCAUUACCAUUAUGCAUCACGAUUUGUUUCCCCAGACAACAUAUCGCUACAAAAUAAAAUCUUAUAUUUGCACUUGCUUUCAAAUGUUUAUCAGACAAAUCCCAUCUUUGAAUACUUGUUAAAAUGUGCAUUGUAUAUAAAUUUCAAUUACUGCACUCAUUUACAAAUGAACUGUGCCACCAAAAACGUUCAAAAUACAAAACUGGGGAUUGUUGCUCCCCCUAUUGGCCAACUUUUUUAGGCUGAAAAAUCAUUUCGGCUUAUUGCGCACAAGAAUGACUAUUUACAAUUUAAUCACGGUUUUAACAUUUAAACGGAUUCGGGGCAAGAGGUGGUUUUCCGUUUCCCCCAUGUUUUCUACUUUAGCUUCUCGAAGGAGUCCCGUCUUUGAAAUGCCACCGAGCACUUUAACACCAUUCACACGUUACCCUUGCCCCUAUAAUGACAAUCAAUUUUUCAUUAGCAUUCCAAAGAUAAAGCCCUAAGGACAGUUUUUGGGGGCCAUUGUAUAACAUACCAUGGCAUUUCAUGCUAGUUUGAGAUUCUCUAAUCCUGCGUUGAAUUCUUCAUGACUUUAGCAGGACGGAUGAGCUGUAAAUACUGUAUGAACUGUAGACACCUGAGGGAUAUUUAAAGCAACCUGCUGGACAGGUAAAAGAGAUUAACAUCCACGCAGGAUAGUGUACCUCACCUAUACAUCCACCCUUAUGGAUCAAAAGCACCAUAUCAUAUCUAAAUAUCAAUAAUAAUACAAUUAACACCGUUUUUGCACUCAAAGUUGUCCACCUAUUUCAUCACGCGUGAAUAUUCACCUUGCAAUCCUACAGGAUUUUGUUCAGCUAGACAUUCUGUUGGCUUGAUUUUGAGUUAUUUAUUGUUCAAUGAGAAUUUUAAUUGUAAUUUUUUUAAGCAGUACAUGCUCUUAAAGUCUCAUUUGUGCAGGUUUGCGUUGCAGCUUUCACCUGCGCUGACUUGAUUCCGCCAUGAGGGAGCAGUAGAGAAGCGUUUUAUAAUUGAAGGCUCCUCUGUGGUUUUACAUAACCUCUCAGUGAUGAUGUCAGAGGAGACACAGUGAUGCAGUGCAGGAAUUAUUAUUUCUUCACAUGCACAAAGGGAAUCAUUGGUUCGUCAUUUAAGGAAAACGGUGCCUAUGGCCUUACAGAACUGUCAGCGACACAUGUCCUCAGGAACAAACAAGGAAAACUCAAUCCAGGCGGUAUACGCAUUGUUGCCGUCUCUCAUGCGUAAAUGUAAACUUAAGUUGCUUAGCCUUAAAGAAAUGAUGGUGUGCACUAAAAUAUAACCCAGCAUUUUCUCAGGAGUAUAGGUUAGUUUUAUCAUCUUUGUUUUGAAAGCAAGGUUUCAUUUGUACAUUGAGGUACAUACAUUUUCUUGCUUAAAAAAGGAAGAAUUAAUAUUAUGUAAAUAUUUUGUGUAACAUGUUUAAAUGUAAAAUUCUGAAAAUGUUUAAUUUGUGAUUAAUUUUGUAAAAUGUGUUUUGUGAGACGUAAGGCUUUAUUUAUCAGUGAUCCCCUUGUGUAAGAAGACGAUAUUUCCUCACAUUAAAAGCUGUUGCAAUUUUUUUGGGCUUGUAUUGUUUUCUCUCUCUCUCUCUCUCUCUCUCUCUCUCUCUCUCUCUUUUUUAUUCUGUCCAUUGAACUGCAGGUUAUUGUAUGUUUCAUUCAAAUUCACUGGACAAAUAGAUCAAGGCUACCUUUUCCUUUUAAAAAGAUUAAAGCAUUUUAAAGAAAUUGCCACUGUAGAAUCAAGUAUAAGCAGAACCUUUGAUCUGUCAUCUUCAUGUAGUCUGCAAUAUGACUCCACUAUAACC